rnacentral:rRNA from 1 species
GACGAACGCUGGCGGCGUGCUUAACACAUGCAAGUCGAACGGUAAGGCCCUUCGGGGUACACGAGUGGCGAACGGGUGAGUAACACGUGGGUGAUCUGCCCUGCACUUCGGGAUAAGCCUGGGAAACUGGGUCUAAUACCGGAUAGGACCACUGCCUGCAUGGGUGGUGGUGGAAAGCUUUUGCGGUGUGGGAUGGGCCCGCGGCCUAUCAGCUUGUUGGUGGGGUGAUGGCCUACCAAGGCGACGACGGGUAGCCGGCCUGAGAGGGUGACCGGCCACACUGGGACUGAGAUACGGCCCAGACUACUACGGGAGGCAGCAGUGGGGAAUGUUGCACAAGGGGCGCAAGCCUGAUGCAGCGACGCCGCGUGAGGGAUGACGGCCUUCGGGUUGUAAACCUCUUUCAGCACCGACGAAGCGCAAGUGACGGUAGGUGCAGAAGAAGGACCGGCCAACUACGUGCCAGCCGCCGCAGUAA